rnacentral:rRNA from 1 species
UACGUAGGGUGCGAGCGUUGUCCGGAAUUAUUGGGCGUAAAGAGCUCGUAGGCGGUGUGUCACGUCGGCCGUGAAAACCUGGGGCUCAACUCUGGGCGUGCGGUCGAUACGGGCAUCACUUGAGUUCGGCAGGGGAGACUGGAAUUCCUGGUGUAGCGGUGAAAUGCGCAGAUAUCGGGAAGAACACCUAUGGCGAAGGCAGCUCUCUGGGACGGUACUGACGCUGAGACGCGAAAGCGUGGGGAGCGAACAGG